GCCAUUUUGUGCCGGCAGCCUUGGGGAACCAGAAAAAAGAAGACUAAAGGGGGAAGAUGAUAGAAGUCUAAUGAAAUCAUGACUGGUGUGGAAAACACUGUCACUGGCGGCAAGAAGGAACUAAGGAUGGGCAGAGUGAACGACGCCUUGUACUGCACCACGAAGGUACCACUCCAGAGAAUGCUGAAGUUGCUCACCUAUAGAUUACAGCUAGGGGAAAACUUCUGGCAUUGGCAUACAUGGCGAGCAUAUACACCUGAUAUGAAAUGGACACUAGCAAUCACUUGAAGGAAAAUCAUCAAUGUAUCAGUUGCUUUGUUUUAAAAAUCCUAGUAAAAAGGCAGGUUUUGGUUGCCUGAUGGGAUUGUGUGUCAUUUUCUGGGCAAAAUCUGAAAGGAACUGAAGCAUGUGUUUCAUUGCAUGCCAUCUGCAUUAUAUUACACAUUAGGAAGAUCAAGUAGUGAACAUGCAGGAGUAAUAAGAAUUUUAUUUCCAAAACGUUCUUUAAAAGCUCCAGUAUUAGCAGUUCUGAACUAAGUAGUCCCCCCUUGAACAGAAGGCUAUGCACUUUAAUUCCAUCUCAAGGAAUAAUUUUAUUACAACAGGAAGCUUUUUCUGAAUAUAUUCAUACCAAGACCAGUGGUUCAGUACAAUACAGGAAGACAAGGCCCUGUUUAGUUUUAAGACAUUUUCCAUAAAAAUCCUUUUUAUACAACUUCUGAAACAAGAGUUUUAUUCUUACACAGUAGUUCUUCAGCCACGGUCCUGCUGAGGCCCUUUUACACCUGGUCGGUGUAAAGGAGAUGCCCACUUUUAUUUUUUCAAAACAACAAUGCUAACUUCCUGAGUGGUUGCUAGAGAAGUCUGAAGAAGCAAGCAGAAGACCGAUUCUAAAUAAGAGAGCUACAAAAUAAAAUAAAUAAAAAGGAAACAGCUAGAAAUUCAGCAGAAACAGAAUUACAACAGAGCAAUAGCUGGCAAGAUCAUUUCAGAAGCAAAAGCAACUUCAUUCUGUGUUGUCAUCUAGCAAAGAACCAUUUCAUUCACUAAACCCCAAGAUCAGAAAGUGCUUUUGUACCUCCACAGACGGAUAAUGUGGAAUUAAUACAUGCUCUCAGCCACCAAUAUGAUUGUUUGCUUAUUUUCUGGGUAAGUUACUACAAGAAUUAGCACAGAAGAAGCAGUCGAUUUAAAACAGCCACACAAAUUAAAAUAAACCAAGCACUUAAAUAAGCUAUCAAAAUAGAAAGCUAGCAUCACCAAUUACUCUCAAAUCUGGAAUGGGAAAAGAAAUCGCUUUAUAGUGGGAUUGGUGCUACAAAAUGGCAUAAACUUUAGCAUUAUACAAAUAAUAAAAAAUACCACUCUGACAACUUAGCUCACCUGCUUGGAUAUCAUCGCAAUACAAACUAUACAGUAAGGGAUAUAAAUAAGUGUUUUGACAUAGAAGCCCAAUACUUGCACUGUGUCAGUUUCUGCAAACACUGAAGUUAAAAAAAACAUACAUGCAUUAUCAAAUGUAAACAUUUACAUCAUAUAAAACCUUAGAAAUGCUGGAAAAUGCCCGAGGGACUUUUACUUUAUAUAAAAUCUACCAGCACAAGAGGCAAAAGGAGUUCAGAAAUUACAACUAGAGACAGAUCAGACAACACAGUGAAGUUUAUUACAUUUUUAAUACAAAUUUAGGGCUCUAAUUAAAUGUUCACUCGGAAGUCUCUAUGGAAUGUCUGUAUGCUCUGAAAGCACAUCUUGGGGAAGGUUUUAGAAACUAGCUUAAUGCAGAACACAGAAGAGAAACUGCAAAUCUCUGAAAAUAAAAUUUUACUCUGUUACCCUUUGCAUCAAGAUACUGAAAUAUGGCCCAGGGAAAGAAGAAAACGGAUAAAUUCCAGUUGUGCUUUUCCUAACCAACUCUGUCUCAUAUGGGACAUCUCUGAAAAGAUGAUCAAGCAGAUUAAUUUAUUUCAGCUUAGAGCUAUUUCAAUCUCUCUCUACAAGAAAAAAAAAUUAAACACAAACAAAACCCUCUAUAUUAUUAGAAAAAAAAAAUCUCAUCUAAAACAAGCAGUCUGAAAACAAGUUCCUUCCCUCCCACCCCACCCCCUAAACAGCCACAAGUAAUUAGUAAUCCUUCAGCUAAUUUGUAUUAGGUUCAGACACACAGGUUCCUGAAUGAGCUUUGAGGUCUGACAGAUCUAUCAAAUCCGUAGCUUGUCUACUUAUUACAUCUUCAUUGGCAAUCCUAUUGCUCUCUCACAGCCUGAAAAAAGACUUCAGGGGUUAGGAAUCCCACUAACUGUAGUUUUCAUGCACGAGAUCCAAGAUGGGAUGAUCCUACAAACUCUUACAAACCUCUACACGAUGUAGGUUUUGCCUAAAUGUCUCAAAGUAUAAACUAACCAUGGCAGGGACAUUUAAAAACGUGCCCGAACUCAAAUAGUGAUAGAAACGUAGCCGUGUUAGUCUGGUGUAGCUGAAACAAAAAACAAGACUAUGUAGCACUUUAAAGACUAACAAGA